rnacentral:rRNA from 1 species
GAUGAACGCUAGCGGGAGGCCUAAUACAUGCAAGUCGAACGGUAAGGUCCCUUCGGGGAUACACGAGUGGCGGACGGGUGCGUAACGCGUACGAAACAUACCUUCAACAGGGAGAUACCUCCGGGAAACUGGAAAUAAUACCCCAUAGUAUUGAGAUAUCGCAUGAUAUUUCAAUUAAAGCUUUGGCGGUUGAAGAUUGUCGUGCGUCUGAUUAGCUAGUUGGUGAGGUAACGGCUCACCAAGGCGACGAUCAGUAGCUGGUCUGAGAGGAUGAUCAGCCACACUGGAACUGAGACACGGUCCAGACUCCUACGGGAGGCAGCAGUAGGGAAUAUUGGACAAUGGGCGGAAGCCUGAUCCAGCCAUCCCGCGUGUAGGAAUAAGGCCCUAUGGGUUGUAAC